CCUGUCUAGCAGCCGCACAAAAAGGGUUGAAACACAAAAACUCCACAUUGAACCUGAACGAUACAGCUGUUCCCAGAGUACUACGUGAGAGAGAAUUAAGAUGGUUGGGUCUAAGCACCUUGUAGUCACAAUGGCCACUGCUGGUGCCCUGACUUUUCUAGAAAUAGGGCCAGUGGGAUGGGCAAUAGUAGUGGCAGCGGCAGCGACAGUGGUGCUGAAAGCGACAAAGAAAUGUCGUGGAAAAUGACGGCUGACGAAGGAAAGGCUGAAAGGCAUUGAUGAAAUCAUGACUAAUAAAAACAAAGAUGGCAG